UACGGAGGGUGCGAGCGUUGUUCGGAAUCACUGGGCGUAAAGCGCGUGUAGGCGGCCCACUAAGUCUGAUGUGAAAGCCCGGGGCUCACCCCCGGAAGUGCAUUGGAAACUGGUGGACUCGAGUCCCGGAGAGGAGAGUGGAAUUCCUGGUGUAGCGGUGAAAUGCGUAGAUAUCAGGAGGAACACCGGUGGCGAAGGCGGUUCUCUGGGCAUUACCUGACGCUGAGGAGCGAAAGUGUGGGGAGCGAACAGG
rnacentral:rRNA from 1 species